CUUGUAGCUGUAUGGCAUGGGAGCAUUCUGCAACAAAGUUUCUGACUAGUUCAAUCUGUUUACUUCUAAUUGCCCUGUGAAGAGUUAGGAUUUUUAUUUUUUGAAUUAUUUCUGUACAUAUUAACUGUUUGCAUUAUGAGCCAAAUGUGCUCCAAUCUGUAGGUUGUGCUGUGGCUGACAAACAUCAUCACUUGGUUCAUUGUGUUGGAUACUUGACACCUUAACAGGGAGUUGUUUGAGAGUUCACGCGUAGUUUUCCUAGUCGAAGGCUACUGUUGCUUCAGAUGUUGUAUUCCUACUUAUUGUGUAGCUUAAGAAAUGCUUCCCUUGUUGAACAACUAGAAACUUAGGAUUUGCUAAUUUUGUGUGCUUGCCAAAAUUAUGUGUACAUGUCUGUAUUACCGUUGGCACUGCAGAAGUCAUGGUUGAAUUAUGGCGCAAAACAACUAUAGAUAUGAUGCAGAUUCAUUUAUUCUCACAUUGACAUUGUGCUUUGGCACUGGAUGCCCCAAAAUCUUUGCCUUAUGUUGAGGGUGGGAUGUGGGAUCAGACUAGGCAAGUAAAUCUAUUGGCCCCCAAAGGAAUAUGCUGUGAAAAUUUUUUAUGCAUGCGGAAGCAAGGGGCUGAUUU
rnacentral:misc_RNA from 1 species